UGAAUACGAGACGCUAAGGCGUUGAAGUAGUGUAUGUCAUACUUCCAAGAAAAGCUUGCACUGUCAUAGAUAAAAAACGCCUGUACCAUAACCGACACAGGUGGGUAGGUAGAGCAUACUAAGGGGCGCGAGAUAACUCUCUCUAAGGAACUCGGCAAAAUAACUCCGUAACUUCGGGAGAAGGAGUGCCUUAUUUAUAAGGCUGCAAUAACAAGAUCCAAGCAACUGUUUAUCAAAAACACAGGUCUCCGCUAAGUCGUAAGACGAUGUAUGGGGGCUGACGCCUGCCCAGUGCCAGAAGGUUAAAGAAGUUGGUUAGCAAUAGCGAAGCUGAUAACUGAAGCCCUGGUGAACGGCGGCCGUAACGAUAACGGUCCUAAGGUAGCGAAAUUCCUUGUCGGGUGAGUUCCGACCCGCACGAAAGGCGUAAUGAUUUGGAUACUGUCUCGGAGAGGGGCUCGGUGAAAUAGACUUGUCUGUGAAGAUGCGGACUACCUGCACCAGGACAGAAAGACCCUAUGAAGCUUUACUGUAACUUGAAAUUGAAAUUGGACUUUAUUCGCGCAGUAUAGGUGGGAGGCGUUGAUUGUAAUCUUGCGGGAUUAUUGGAGCCAUCAGUGAGAUACCACCCUUGUAAUGUUAGAUUUCUAACUUUGAAUCAUUAUCUGGUCAAAGAACAGUUUCAGGCGGGCAGUUUGACUGGGGCGGUCGCCUCCUAAACGGUAACGGAGGCGUACAAAGGUUUCCUCUGAACGGUUAGAAAUCGUAUCUAGAGUGUAAAGGCAUAAGGAAGCUUGACUGUGAGACCUACAAGUCGAGCAGGGACGAAAGUCGGUCUUAGUGAUCUGACGGUACUGAGUGGAAAGGCCGUCACUCAACGGAUAAAAGUUACUCUAAGGAUAACAGGCUGAUCUCCCCCAAGAGUUCACAUCGACGGGGAGGUUUGGCACCUCGAUGUCGGCUCAUCGCAUCCUGGGGCGGUAGUACGUCCCAAGGGUUGGGCUGUUCGCCCAUGAAAGCGGUACGCGAGCUGGGUUCAGAACGUCGUGAGACAGUUCGGUCCAUAUCCGGUGUAGGCGUUAGAAUAUUGAGAGGAGCCUUCUUUAGUACGAGAGGACCGAGAAGGACAUACCUCUGGUGUACCAGUUAUCGCGCCAACGGUAAACGCUGGGUAGCUAUGUAUGGAGUGGAUAACCGCUGAAAGCAUCUAAGUGGGAAGCCCACCUCAAGAUAAG
rnacentral:rRNA from 1 species